CUUUAGUAGGGCUGGGUAUUAUUUUAACAUUUUUUAACAAAAAACAAUACUUUUUUGUUGAUACCUUUUUCUAAAUUGUAACAAAAAAUAUACAAAAACUAUAAUCAUUCUCAUACAAGCCAACAUGAGUAAUAUCAAUCUCAUACUCUCAUCAUGAGAGGCUCCAUCUUUUCGAUCUUGUUGCUAAUGUGAGCAUUUCUGUAACAUAGGAGCAGGCGGGGAGCAGAGCAGACGGGAGGCGGACUCAUAAGCGGGAGCAGAUAUGGAGGCUUUAUAAACCACCUGGAUUAUGGCUUCACUUGCUGUAUGGGGAGGAAGACCACGAUGAAGAUCCUGAUGAGUUUCCCUUUUUUUCUUUUGGCCCUAGCAGGUGCUUUGUUAGCAGUCGAUCCGAGGACUGACAGUCCUACUGAUGGUCUGCACCAUGUGCUCGUCACUACUCGUUAUGAUGAUCUCGGCCACUGUGGGGGAACUCUGAUCAGUUCUGAGUGGGUCCUAACUGCAGCCUACUGCAAACAGUCGUAAGAGCCUGUACAACAAUCAUAUACUAGAUACAGUACCAGUUAAAAGUUUCUUAAUUUAUUUAAUUGGCAUUGUAGAUUAAUAUUGAACACAUGAAAAAAAAUUAAGGGACACAAAAAAGUGUUUGUUCUCCACAACCCCCUGUCCAAAACUCCACUGAGAUGGUGAUUUAAUGUGGUUUGGGAUGAGCUGGAGCAACUAUUGUUCAGCACCUCCAGCAAAUCCUUCAAGAUGCCUCAGUGUGACACUAACAGGAGUGUGUAGAUCUCUUAAUGUCUUCAAUAUUAUAUUUACAUUGUAGUAAAUACUAAAAAGAACGAAAAAUUGAAUAAAAGGUAUGUCGAAACAUUUGAUAGGUACUGU
rnacentral:lncRNA from 1 species